AUUGCUGAUGAGUCUCAAAUAAGACGAAACGCACGUCCUCAAU
rfam:Schistosoma margrebowiei strain Zambia genome assembly, scaffold: SMRZ_scaffold0004537